rnacentral:rRNA from 1 species
GUCGAACGCUGAAGCACCAGCUUGCUGGUGUGGAUGAGUGGCGAACGGGUGAGUAAUACGUGAGUAACCUGCCCUUGACUCUGGGAUAAGCCCGGGAAACUGGGUCUAAUACUGGAUGCUACAUGUCACCGCAUGGUGGUGUGUGGAAAGGGUUUACUGGUCUUGGAUGGGCUCACGGCCUAUCAGCUUGUUGGUGAGGUAAUGGCUCACCAAGGCGACGACGGGUAGCCGGCCUGAGAGGGUGACCGGCCACACUGGGACUGAGACACGGCCCAGACUCCUACGGGAGGCAGCAGUGGGGAAUAUUGCACAAUGGGCGAAAGCCUGAUGCAGCGACGCCGCGUGAGGGAUGACGGCCUUCGGGUUGUAAACCUCUUUCAGCAGGGAAGAAGCCACAAGUGACGGUACCUGCAGAAGAAGCGCCGGCUAACUACGUGCCAGCAGCCGCGGUAAUACGUAGGGCGCAAGCGUUGUCCGGAAUUAUUGGGCGUAAAGAGCUCGUAGGCGGUUUGUCGCGUCUGCUGUGAAAGCCCGGGGCUUAACCCCGGGUGUGCAGUGGGUACGGGCAGACUAGAGUGCAGUAGGGGAGACUGGAAUUCCUGGUGUAGCGGUGGAAUGCGCAGAUAUCAGGAGGAACACCGAUGGCGAAGGCAGGUCUCUGGGCUGUUACUGACGCUGAGGAGCGAAAGCAUGGGGAGCGAACAGGAUUAGAUACCCUGGUAGUCCAUGCCGUAAACGUUGGGCACUAGGUGUGGGGGACAUUCCACGUUUUCCGCGCCGUAGCUAACGCAUUAAGUGCCCCGCCUGGGGAGUACGGCCGCAAGGCUAAAACUCAAAGGAAUUGACGGGGGCCCGCACAAGCGGCGGACCAUGCGGAUUAAUUCGAUGCAACGCGAAGAACC